rnacentral:rRNA from 1 species
AUUGAACGCUGGCGGCAGGCCUAACACAUGCAAGUCGAGCGGAGCGGCGGACGGGUGAGUAAUGCCUAGGAAUCUGCCUGGUAGUGGGGGAUAACGUCCGGAAACGGGCGCUAAUACCGCAUACUAUCAGAUGAGCCUAGGUCGGAUUAGCUAGUUGGUGGGGUAAAGGCCCACCAAGGCGACGAUCCGUAACUGGUCUGAGAGGAUGAUCAGUCACACUGGAACUUAGACACGGUCCAGACUCCUACGGGAGGCAGCAGUGGGGAAUAUUGGACAAUGGGCGAAAGCCUGAUGCAGCCAUGCCGCGUGUGUGAAGAAGGUCUUCGGGUUGUAAAGUACUUUAAGCGGGGAGGCGUUACCGGCAGAAUAAGCACCGGCUAACUCCGUGCCAGCAGCCGCGGUAAUGC